rnacentral:rRNA from 1 species
GUUACUGCUAUCGAGAUUCGACUAAGCCAUGCGAGUUGAAUGUUCUUCGUGAACAUGGCGGACUGCUCAGUAACACGUGGACAACCUACCCUUGGGUCCGGCAUAAUCCUGGGAAACUGGGAAUAAUUCCGGAUAGGUCACCGAUGCUGGAAUGCGCGGUGGCCGAAAGCUCCGGCGCCCGAGGAUGGGUCUGCGGCCUAUCAGGGUUGUAGUGGGUGUAACGUACCUACUAGCCUACGACGGGUACGGGUUGUGAGAGCAAGAGCCCGGAGAUGGAUUCUGAGACACGAAUCCAGGCCCUACGGGGUGCAGCAGGCGCGAAAACUUUACAAUGCGGGAAACCGUGAUAAGGGGAUCUCGAGUGCCAGCAUAUAAUGUUGGCUGUCCAGAUGCCUAAAAAGCAUCUGUUAGCAAGGGCCGGGCAAGACCGGUGCCAGCCGCCGCGGUAACACCGGCGGCCCGAGUGGUAACCGCUAUUAUUGGGUCUAAAGGGUCUGUAGCCGGCCAGGUAAGUCCCUUGGGAAAUCUGGCAGCUCAACUGUCAGGCUGCUAGGGGAUACUGUUUGGCUUGGGACCGGGAGAGGUGAGAGGUACCUUGGGGUAGGG